UAUUUUAUUCUCUUUCUAUUCUUAGUAAUCCCCCUUCCUUUAUAUUCAUAUUUUUUUCGGUGGCAGUGCCUUUUGAUCAAUUAACCUAUACGAUAGUCCUUAAUCCUGAGAGAACAGUUCUCACCAGGUAGCCUCAGUGUGGACUUCAAAGUCCUUUAGUAUCUGGUAAAUUGACAUAUGUGCAAUACUUGGGUAUCUUUAUUGUGGAAAAGUUUCCACAAUAAAGAUACCCAAUUAUGACACGUGUGUCUAAUUUACCCAACUUGUCGGUUCUCUGAGCCAUUUAUCUACACCUCUGGUAUCUGUUUUUCCAUGUACACCUGACAGUCAGUACACUCCUGUGUUCGUGGCCUGGUCACCCAUGAAGAGGGAGCUGGAGGGGAACGGGUAUUUUCUCGAUGUAAUGGCCUGGUGUACGUGUAAAGGUAUUAUCCUGGACGUAUUCAGCGUCACGAAAGCUACGAAAUCUGUCUUCUGGCGGAGGUGGCUGGAUCAGUAGUUCGCUGGUCAUCAACAGUAAUUUAAAGAGAAGGCAGCCUUCAUUCACCUGUUGACAGCCUAGUCAGAGGCUCUAGCAAGCAGUAGCCCGGAACCUAACCUGCUGUAUAAGCGAGGCCCUCCUGUAACUGGGUACCGAAGGAAGACACUGCAGCCCAGAGCAUAGCACAUGACCAAGCCUUUCUACCACAAGACGAUUAUUAGAAUACAACUACCAAACAUCUUGGACAACGGUGACUGUAAUCCCAGUACUGAAGAGAAGAGACUAAUAUGCAGCCCUAACCUACACAUCAUCCCUAGCAGACGUAUAUAAAUGGUUCAGAAAACCAACACGUUGACAAAUUAGACACAUAUGUCCUUAUUGUGGAAACAUUUCACCACACAGUUGCUUCUACAGUCCAAUACAAACAAGAAUGGUGAAGAUUUUCAACAUUCUUUGUAUUGGACCGAUGAAGCCACAAUAAAGACACCCAAUUGUUGUAAAUGUGUCUAAUUCAUCCCUAGCAAACUUACAAGGUGACGAGUAAAUAAAGAGACUAAGACACAUGCAAAGACACGGAUUCAGACCGGAGAAAAUCUUAUCACGAGCUUAGUAGAAUUCAACAGCAGUUCUUAGUUAUUAGACAAAAAAGAGGAGGGAAGAUACA